GAUGAACGCUGGCGGCGUGCUUAACACAUGCAAGUCGAACGAGAACCAUACGAUAGAGGAUUCGUCCAAUUGAAUAUGGGGAAAGUGGCGGACGGGUGAGUAACGCGUGAGCAAUCUGCCUUGGAGUGGGGAAUAACGGCUGGAAACAGCCGCUAAUACCGCAUGAUACAGCUGAGUCGCAUGGCUCUGGCUGUCAAAGAUUUAUCGCUCUGAGAUGAGCUCGCGUCUGAUUAGCUAGUUGGCGGGGUAAAGGCCCACCAAGGCGACGAUCAGUAGCCGGACUGAGAGGUUGGCCGGCCACAUUGGGACUGAGACACGGCCCAG
rnacentral:rRNA from 1 species